GGUUUGAUUAUGGCUCAGAUUGAACGCGCUGGCGGAUGUUUUACACAUGCAAGUCGAACGGCAGCACGGACUUCGGUCUGGUGGCGAGUGGCGAACGGGUGAGUAAUGUAUCGGAACGUGCCUAGUAGUGGAGAUAAUCUUACGCGAAAGCGGAAGCAAUACUGCAUACGCCCUUCGGGAAAGCGGGGACCUUCGGGGCCUCGCACGUCGUCAGAGCGGCCGAUAUCGGAUUAGCUAGUUGGUGGGGUAACGGCCCACCAAGGCGACGAUCCGUGUGCUGGCUUGAGAGGACGACCAGCCACACUGGGACUGAGACACGGCCCAGACUCCAGGAGGCAGCAGGGGGAAUUUUGAUAACGGGGAAACCCUGAUCCAGCCAUCCCGCGUGUGCGAUGAAGGCUCGGGUUGUAAAGCACUUUUGGCAGGAGAAAGAACGGCACGGAUACACCCCGUGCAACUGACGGUACCUAAGAAUAAGCACCGGCUAACUACGUGCCAGCAGCCGCGGUAAUACGUAGGUGCAAGCGUUAAUCGGAAUUACUGGGCGCAAAGUGUGGCAGGCGGUUCGGAAAGAAAGAUGAAAUCCCAGAGCUUAACUUGGAACUGUAUUUUUAACUACCGAGCUAGAGUGUGUCAGAGGGAGGUGGAAUUCCGCGUGUAGCAGUGAAAUGCAGAUAUGCGGAGGAACACCGAUGGCGAAGCGUAGCCUUCCUGAUAACACUGACGCUCAUGCACGAAAGCGUGGGGAGCAAACAGGAUUAGAUACCCUGUAGUUCCAUGCCCAAACGAUGUCAACUAGCUGUUGGGGCCUUCGGGCCUUGGUGGCGCGUAGCGAACGGCAGUGAAGUUGACCGCCCGGGGAGUACGGUCGCAAGAUUAAAAUCAAAGGAAUUGACGGGACCUGCACAAGCGUGAGCGAUGUGAUUAAUUCGAUGCAAUGCGAAAAACCUACCUACUCCUGAUAUGCGGUUCUGAAUCCUGAAGAGAUUUGGGGAGUGCUCGCAAGAGGCAACCAACACAGGUGCUGUACGGCUGUCGUCAGCUCGUGUCGAGAUGUUGUGUUGUCCUGCACUGAGCAACCCUUGGCCGCUGCUAUUAAAGGGCACUCUAAUGAGACUGCCGGUGACAACCGGAGGAAGGUGGGGAUGACGUCAAGUCCUCAUGGCCCUUAUGGGUAGGGCUUCACGCCAUAAUGGACGGGACAGAGGGUCGCCAACCUGCGAGGGGAGCCAAUCCAGAAACCCUGACUGGUCCGAUCGUAGUCUGCAACUCGACUGCGUGAAGUCGGAAUCGCCAGUAAUCGCGGUGACCGCAUGUCGCGUAAUGCUACGUUCCUGGUCUGUACACACCGCCCGGGUCGACCAUGUGGAGUGGGUUUUACCAGAAGUAGUUAGGCCUAACCGUAAGGAGGGCGAUUACCACGGUAGGAUUCAGAUCAGUGAAGUCGUAAUAAGGCAG
rnacentral:rRNA from 1 species